rnacentral:lncRNA from 1 species
CGAAUAUACAUAAUAAUUAGUAUCUCUAACAAGCCAUUUCGCAUGACAACUUAUAUACAAAUCAAAAUUAGCCAUAGUUUAUACAUGUCAUAUGUCCUAAUAUCAAACUUUCAAAAUACCGGAAUGGCAAUUGAUAGUGUGACGAUAUUCCUUGAUAAUCCUCGAGCUCAAGCUAGCUUUAUAUAUCUAUAAAACAACGGAAGGAUGCACAAAGUAAGCUUUGGAAGCUUAGUAAGCCAUAAGAAAAUAAAUCAUCUCAAUGAUAUUUAUAAUUUAAUUCAACUAGGUCGAAUUUAAAUAAAUCUCAAACACCUAUACAUUUAACUGUCUCAUAUAAAUUCGUAUUAUCCCAUUAAGUACCAAACUGAUACGAGUCACAAAGGCCCAACUCAAGCUCAAGAACGUAAUGGGCUCAAAUUACCACAAGGCCCAAUAACGAGGUCAAAGGCCAGGCAAAUGCGUACGAAACUAAAUGGAACCAUUUAAGACUUCAUUAGCAAGGCCUUAGAUGCGUAUACAAAGGAAAACGAAAAUCAAGAUUCACUUUCUUGUUUUCAAGAAAAUCAAGAAACCGAAUCUUGGUCCAAUUUUGUUGUUUUGAACGAUUUCAAGAAUCAAGAAAAUUAAGAUUUCAAAUCUUGGAAAUCUUGGCCCAAGAAACCGAAUCUUGCAGCUAAGGCGCAUUGGAUCUCAGUUACGACCAUCAAUAAACCAAUUUCAGGAGAGAACGGAUUACAAGCCCAAAUGCUUGAAGAAACGGCCCAAUAGGAUGUUCGAAGCCGAAUCAAGAAAUUUAAAUUAGACUUAGUUGAAAAUCAGGCCAAAUUGUCAAAGUGGCCAAAUUUGUAAAUUUUUAAUUCUGUAAAUACUUAGUUUUAAUUUUUAGACUUUAUGAUUAAAUUCCUAUGUAAAAAUUCAGCCCAAGAGGCCCAUUAAAAGCCUUGGCCGAAUUUCCCUUGAAGUUAAUAAUUAGGUUUUUUUUAGUUUUCCUAGUAAGGUUAGGAAAAUAGUUAGAAGGUAUAUAAAAAGGCUUGGUCGGCCACCCUUAGAAAAAACACAUUGAAUAUACAUUGAAAUCAGAUUUUUGUUGAGUGAAAAUUCUCUUUGCGUUUCUCUAAGAAUUUUCUCUUAAGUUUUCUUUAGAAGUAGUUUUAACAAUCUUUUCGAUUGUGGGGGCCAUCUUCAGCCUUCUUAUUGCCAUUGUCCUACAUUGGAGGGGAGAUUAGAGCCGUUUGAAGGGAGUUGUGAAAUCUUUCUCGAUUUCAAGGCUGCUUAGGACUUUUCUGUAUUUUUCUUGUUGUUUAUUCCUCUUUACUUUUUCUACUUGUGCUGAUUUAUUGGUUAACUUGUUUUAUUGUUCUUGUUACGUUUCAGCCAUUCCUAAAUUUCAAGAUCUGUCUUUGCAACAUUCUUUGGCAUGAAGAAACGUCCUUCAAUCAUAUUUUUCCAGAUUUCUUGCCGUCCAAGUAUUCUAUUUCCUAUUCCAAUUUGGUUUCUUGAUCCAUUGAGUUUAACUUGCUGUUUGGUGUUUUCUUUGUCAGAUUCAGCAAGGGAGACUUCAUUGACGUUAGAUCUCGUUUUCUUUGCUUCCAAUCAACGCUACUAAUAAGUGUUUUUGAAUCUUGGCUGAUUCUUUCUUGUUUUGGGUGUUUCGUUCCAGAUCUGUUGAUCUGUGAGAUUAAUUUGCUGAUUUCUGUUUCCGUUUCAGCCAAGUUGUUUACAGAUCUCAUAGGACUUCCUCGUGACUUGGCACUCGAUCUUGGUUAGCGUGCAAGCCCCUAUCAUUUGGUAUCAGAUUUUGGGCGUUUUGGGUGUUCUUGGGUGAUUUCUAAACUGAUUUCCUUUUAAAAACAGCAUAUAGCAGUUUUUACCAGAAAAAAUUUUUGGAAAAAAUUCAAUUGAGUGGGCAAACGUUGUCCGAUUGGUCUGAAAUUUUAUAUGUAUAUUUUUGGCACUAUGAUAGAAUAUUAAAAAAAUAUUUCCUACAAAAAAAAUCAAUAGAAAAAGUCAAAAAAAUUGAAAAAGUGAAAUCAAGUUAAAAUUAAAAAAUAUAUUUAGUGGGUUGAUUUUAGUGCCAAAACUUUCCAGAUCAAAUAUAAAAUAUUUAAGGACAUUCCAGUUUAAAUUUCAUGAUUUUUGGUGAUCGGGAACACCUCAAACGAAGUUGUCAAGUUACUCCGCAGUUUUUCGGGUUUCAACAAUUUUUGUUGAUUCUUAGCUGUAGGUUUUCAUUUGUUUUGCCUUUAUUAUUCCUUUACACUAUCUAACACAUUCUUGUUUCUUGUGUUAGUAGGAUUUAAAAGUGUGCACAAUUCUUCCUUGGUGCGACACAAAUCAAUUGGUGUGUUGUCAGUUUUGAACUCCUAGGGCAAUUAGGAUUCUUUGGUAGUUACGGUUCGUACACUUUCUAAUUGAUUGAUAUAGAAUCUACUAAAGAACUCACAAGACUGAAUUCUACCUCUUUGAGAAUUUGAUUUUCCUUUUUGAGUGAUUAAUGGUGAGGUUUGUUAAUUUUUUUUUGGAGUGUUGAGUGUUUGUUUUGCAGGUAUUCGAAAAGGAAAAAAAUAAGAUGCAUAGAAUGGGUCAAGUCAAUGAUGAGAAUAAUGACCAUAAUGAGGUCCAUGAUAAAUUUAUAGAGUUCCAACAACAGUUAGACGAACCGACUGCUGCACACAAACAAACAAAUGCCAUACUUCGAACAUUGGGUGCUACUAUCAAUGAGAUGCGAUUGGACCGAGUGGAGAAAAGAGCCCAACGAGGACAACUUAAUUCAAGUGAAAGGGCAAAAAUGAGAGUGCCAAGAAGAUGAACAUCCAACGAAUAUUCGAGAAGAGAUUCAUAUCAUGAUUCCUAUUCAAUGAGAAAUUCAAGACAAUGCAAAGCAAGUUUCGAGUGUGAAGUUUUCCAUUGCGACGAACAAGAAAUCACAAGUAAUCCUUCGUAUGCCCCAAAGAACUCGUCCACUGAGAAUCAAUUUUGAAAGGUGAUCAUUGUUCGUAUGCAAGUCAUUCCGUACAUACCCAACGAGAGUCUUUUCGUUCUGAUUCAUUUGUAACAUCUCUAUAUUGUAAUGAAAGGAAGACAGAAAAAGAAAUCGAAAAAGAAAAGGCGAACGAAAAAGAGCAAAAAGAGAUUGAGAGUGAAAAGGAAUGUGAAAACAGAAAAGAAAAUUGAAAAAGAAAUUGAAGAAGAGAAAAUGAGUUAGAAAAAGUAACAAAAGAGAAAGGCGAGGAAAGGGUAGUGAGGAAUGUUUCCACUAACCAAGAUAUGGAUUUUUCUGAUGUUGCUACUUUUCAGGUUCCCAAAAGACUGAAAGAUAACUUUCAACUUCAAUACCUUUCCAAUGAAAGACGCUUUCAUAAGAUCAACAUAGGCAAGGUUGAAGAUGAAAUCACACUACAUGAGCCCGAAGGUAAGCGAGGUAAGGAAAUUUUAGCAAUCGACUCCCGUGCAGAUUUGAAAAUUAUUGAUAAAACUUUUGAUGACUUAGUUCUUAAAAGGCCCUCUCAUUUUGAUCAGAUUAAUUUUUAUUCUUCGAUUGUGGUUGAUAAAAUCAUUAUGAAAGGAAGCGUGAGUUGUUAUUCUCUUGAUUUGCCUUGUGUAAAAUCCGCGAAUUUGUGCAAAUCUGUUUUGGAGAAUAAAAAAAAUUUUGAAUGUAUGUUGGUAUGAAUGUGAAAAUCCUCAUGGUUUAACUUGAUUGGUUUAAUGAAAUCUUUGUUACACUUCGGUAUGAAUAAUCAAAAUCAAGUUUUUAAACCCGGAAUCUGUUUUGGUAUAUUUUGUUGGAAAAUCAAGCAUCAUCUAUUGUGUGCAAAUACUUUAUAUUGUUUUGAUACUUGGUUUUUGAAUAAGGUAACGAAAUUUGCCAAAUUUGUUUUCAAUUUAUAUUCGUGCCUUAACCAUUUGACAAAGGUUAACUCAACAACGGAGCUUCGACUACACUAUGCCCCCGAUGAGUGAAGGUUUGUAUUAAAUAGAAAAGGUAAAAUCGACCCUUAUUCUUCUUCUUAUAAAGGUAAGAUGCUUGAAACUUUUGAAAAACUUUUGUACUCCUCGGAUAGUGACAAAGAUCGUGUUGAUGAUUUAAUUUUUGUAAAACACUUAGCUCGAAACGUGCUUGACUGUCCUAUUUUAUUUAUUGAUUAUCUAUCUGUUUUGAUGGUUGAUAAAAAGAUUAUUGUUUUUGAUAAUUUUUAUGAUGCAUGGGUGAGUGAAUCUAUAGUCUAUCAAUUAAUGCAUGGUAUGAUUGUGAAACUCUGUGAACCGGGUGAACCUUUUCAAAUACCUACUUGUGACGAUUACAUUUACCAUUUGAUUUAUCUCCCCGAUGAGUACAAUGUAAGUUCUACUUUCAAUGUGGCUGACUUAUCUCCAUUUGAUUUUUUAGAUUCGAGGAGGAAUCUUUUUGAGGAAGGGGGGAAUGAUACGAGUUACAAUGGCCCAACUCAAGCUCAAGAACGUGAUGGUCUCAAAUUACCACAAGGCCCAAUAACGAGGUCAAAGGCCAGGCAAAUGCGUACGAAACUAAAUGGAACCAUUCAAGACUUCAUUAGCAAGGCUUUAGAUAUGUAUACAAAGGAAAAAGAAAAUCAAGAUUCACUUUCUUGUUUUCAAGAAAAUCAAGAAACCGAAUCUUGGUCCAAUUUUGCUGUUUUGAAUGAUUUCAAGAAUCAAGAAAAUCAAGAUUUCAAAUCUUCGAAAUCUUGGCCCAAGAAACCGAAUUUUGCAGCUAAGGUGCAUUGGAUCUCAGUUACGAUCAUGAACGAACCAAUUUCGGGAGAGAACGGAUUACAAGCUCAAAUGCUUGAAGAAACGGCCUAAUAGGAUGUUCGAAGCCGAAUCAAGAAAUUUAAAUUAGACUUAGUUGAAAAUCAGGCCAAAUUGUCAAAGUGGCCCAAUUUGUAAAAUUUUAAUUCUUUAAAUACUUAGUUUUAAUUUUUAGACUUUAUGAUUAAAUUCAUAUGUAAAAAUUCAGCCCAAGAGGCCCAUUAAAAGCCUUGGCCGAAUUUCCCUUGAAGUUAAUAAUUAGGUUUUUUUUUUAGUUUUCCUAGUAAGGUUAGGAAAAUAGUUAGAAGGCCUAAAAAGGCUUGGCCGGCCACCCUUAGAAAAAACACAUUGAAUAUACAUUGAAAUCAAAUUUUUGGUGAGUGAAAAUUCUCUUUGAGUUUCUCCAAGAAUUUUCUCUUAAGUUUUCUUUAGAAGUAGUUUUAACAAUCUUUUCGAUUGUGGGGGCCAUCUUCAGCCUUCUUCUUGCCAUUGUCCUACAUUGGAGGGGAGAUUAGAGCCGUUUGAAGGGAGUUGUGAAAUCUUUCUCGAUUUCAAGGCUUCUUAGGACUUUUCUUUAUUUUUCUUGUUGUUUAUUCCUCUUUACUUUUUCUGCUUGUGCCGAUUUAUUGGUUAACUUGUUUUAUUGUUCUUGUUGCAUUUCAGCCAUUCCCAAAUUUCAAGAUCUGUCUUUGCAACAUUCUUUGGCAUCAAGAAGCGUCCUUCAAUCAUAUUUUUCCAGAUUUCUUGCCGUCCAAGUAUUCUAUUUCCUAUUCCAAUUUGGUUUCUUGAUCCGUUGAGUUUAACUUGCUAUUUGGUGUUUUCUUUGUCAGAUUCAGCAAGGGAGACUUCAUUGACGUUAGAUCUCAUUUUCUUUGCUUCCAAUCAAUGCUACUAAUAAGUGUUUUUGAAUCUUGGCUGAUUCUUUCUUGUUUUGGGUGUUUCGUUCCAGAUCUGUUGAUCUGUGAGAUUAAUUUGCUGUUUUCUGUUUCCGUUUCAUCCAAGUUGUUUAUAGAUCUCGUAGGACUUUCUCGUGACUUGGCACUCGAUCUUGGUCCGCGUGCAAGCCCCUAUCAUUUGGUAUCAGAUUUUGGGCGUUUUGGGUGUUCUUGGGUGAUUUCUAAACUGAUUUCCUUUUAAAAACAGCAUAUAGCAGUUUUUACCCAGAAAAAAUUUUUGGAAAAAAAUUCAAUUGAGUGGGUAAACGUUUCCCGAUUGGUCUGAAAUUUUAUAUGCAUAUUUGUGGCACUGUGAUAGAAUAUUAAAAAAAUAUUUCCUGCAAAAAAAAUCAAUAGAAAAAGUCAAAAAAAUUGAAAAAGUGAAAUAAAGUAAAAAUUAAAAAAAAUAUUCAGCGGGUUGAUUUUAGUGCCGAAACUUUCCAAAUCAAAUAUACAAUAUUUAAGGACAUUCCAGUUUAAAUUUCGUGACUUUUGGAGAUAGGGAACACAUCGAACGAAGUUGUCAAGUUACUCCGCAGUUUUUCCGGUUUCAACAAUUUUUGUUGAUUCUUAGCUGUAGGUUUUCAUUUGUUUUGCCUUUAUUCUUCCUUUACACUAUCUAACACAUUCUUGUUUCUUGUGUUAGUAGGAUUUAAAAGUGUGCACAAUUCUUCCUUGGUGCGACACAAAUCAAUUGGUGUGUCGUCAGUUUUGAACUCCUAGGGCAAUUAGGAUUCUUUGGUAGUUACGGUUCGUACACUUUGUAAUUGAUUGAUAUAGACUCUACUAAAGAACUCACAAGACUGAAUUCUACCUCUUUGAGAAUUUGAUUUUCCUUUUUGAGUGAUUAAUGGUGAGGUUCGUUAAUAUUUUUUAGAGUGUUGAGUGUUUGUUUUGCAGGUAUUCGAAAAGGAAAAAAAUAAGAUGCAUAGAAUGGGUCAAGUCGAUGAUGAGAAUAAUGACCAUAAUGAGGUUCAUGAUAAAUUUAUAGAGUUCCAACAAUAGUUAGACGAACAGACUGCUGCACUCAAACAAACAAAUGCCAUACUUCGAACAUUGAGUGCUACUAUCAAUGAGAUGCGAUUGGACCGAGUGGAGAAAAGAGCCCAACGAGGACAACUUAAUUCAAAUGAAAGGGCAAAAAUGAGAGUGCCAAGAAGAUGAACAUCCAACGAAUAUUCGAGAAGAGAUUCAUAUCAUGAUUCCUAUUCAAUGAGAAAUUCAAGACAAUGCAAAGCAAGUUUCGAGUGUGAAGUUUUCCAAUGUGACGAACAAGAAAUCACAAGUAAUCCUUCGUAUGCCCCAAGGAACUCGUCCACUGAGAAUCAAUUUUGAAAGGUGAUCAUUGUUCGUAUGCAAGUCAUUCCGUACAUACCCAACGAGAGUCUUUUCGUUCUGAUUCAUUUGUAACAUCUCUAUAUUGUAAUGAAAGGAAGACAGAAAAAGAAAUCGAAAAAUAAAAAGCGAACGAAAAAGAGCAAAAAGAGAUUGAGAGUGAAAAGGAAUGUGAAACAGACAAGAAAACUUCUUUCAUUCAUAUUUUUCCAGAUUUCUUGCCUUCCAAGUAUUCUAUUUCCUAGUCCAAUUUGGUUUCUUGAUCCGUUGAGUUUAACUUGCUGUUUGGUGUUUUCUUUGUUAUAUUUAGAAAGGGAGACUUCAUUGACGUUAGAUCUCAUUUUCUUUGCUUCCAAUCAACGCUACUAAUAAGUGUUUUUGAAUCUUGGCUGAUUCUUUCUUGUUUUGGGUGUUUCGUUCCAGAUCUGUUGAUCUGUGAGAUUAAUUUGCUAUUUUCUGUUUCCGUUUCAGCCAAGUUGUUUAUAGAUCUCGUAGGACUUCCUCGUGAUUUGACAACUCGAUCUUGGUCCGCGUGCAAUCCCUAUCAUAAACUUACCUUAUUAUUUCAUGAAAAUAUAAACUUCACACAUACCUGAACCAUUUAGCUCAAAUUCACAUUCGAAAUUGUUAAGAACACACGGAAAUCAUAUAAAGCUCGUACAAUGCCAUAUCCCGGAUAUGGUAUUACAUGUUAACGUAUAUCGAUGCCACUAUCCCAGAUAGUGUCUUAUACGAAUCAUAUAUGAUGCCAAUGUCCCAGACAUGGUCUUACAUGUUUUCUCACUUCGAUGUCAAUGUCCCAGACAUGGUCUUACACGAAAUCACACCUUGGAAGUCCUAAUAUCAUGACAUCAAUAUCCAAUACAUUUCCUAAGGUUCAUUCGGAGCUUUUGACUUCGUAAUUAAAUCAAUUCAUGCACGAAACCAGUCAUCCAAUGCUCAAUCAAUUUGACAAUAUAUAUGUAUACAUUACAAAUCAAUUCGGCAAUAUAUAUACAUAUACAAAUCAAUUCGGCAAUGUAUAUCUAUAUAUAAAUCAAUUCGGCAAUGUAUAUCCAUAUAUAAAUCAAUUCGGCUAUGUAUAUCCAUAUACAAAUCAAUUCGGUAAUGUAUAUCCAUAUAAAAAUCAAUUCGGCUAUAUAUAUCUAUAUAUAAAUCAAUUCGACAAUAUAUAUAUCCAUAUACAAAUUAAUUUAGCAAUAUAUAAAACAUAUACAUUUGAAUUCAAAAACAUUUAUUUACUUAUGAACUUACUUCGUACGGAAACAAACGGAUCGGAUCAACUUGAUCUAUAUGAAUUCAAAUUUAACUCAUUUAAUCACCUAAUCAUUCAAUUUCAUCCAAAAAUACCUAUUUUGACAUUUUUACAAUUUAACCCUUAAAGUUUCACAUUUAUUCAUUUUAGUCCCUAUUUCACAAAUAAAAAAAUUCACACAAUUCAAUAUAACUCAAGCUUAUUCGAAUUACUAUAGUGCCCCUAAAAGCCUAAAACUUUCAUUUAUUUCUUAUUUCAACCACUUAAUUUGCAUAUUUCACAAUUUAAUCCCUAUUUGAUAUUUUUGUCAAAAAUCACAUUACAAAACAUAGUAAUCUAUCAAAAAUUAUUCAUUUUCCAUCAUCGACAUUCAAAAAAAAUCAAGCUAUCAUCAAUGGAAACUCACAAAUUCAUCAACCAAUUCAAAAAUUAGGGCAUGGGCUAGCUAGAACACGAAGCAACGAUAUACAAAACGUAAAAAUUAUCAAAAACCGAGCUCAAAUCAUACCUUAAUCAAGCUAUGUGUGUGUCGAACCCUAAGUGUUCAUCAAUGGUUUCUUUCUUCUUUAAUAUUCAGCCAAGGAAGAAAAGAUGGACAAAAUUUUAGCUUUGCUUUUAUUUUUUUAAUCAUUAAUUUACUUAUUUACUAUUUUACCAUUAAAAACAUUAGUAAUUACACCAAAUGUCACUCCACUAUCAUCCAAUAACUCUCAAAUGGCCUAUUUACCACUUAAGGACUUUUACUUUAAUAUUCUAUAGCUAUUAGACACCUUUAGCUUAUAGAACACAACUUUUACGCUUUACGCGAUUUAGCCUUUUUUACCUAGCUAACCAUUCAAACAGUAAAAUUUCUUUGCAAAACUUUCACACACAUAUAAUCACAUGCUGUAAAUACCAAAAAUAAUACUAAAAUAAUUUUCUGACCUUAGAUUUGUAGUUUCAAAACCACUGUUCCGAUUUAACUAAAAUCGAGCUCUUACACCUACAUUAUACAAUGUCAUAACAUCUAAAGAUACCAUUAUAUUUGUAUGUAAUAUUAUAUUUUUUUAUUUCUCCUUUUCCAAUGCUAAAAACUGUAGGUUUGAAAUCCCUAAGAUGGAUUAAAUUAGAUUCUUUUACAGUUAUACAUAUCUGAAUUCAUAUAAGUAUUUUACAGGUGAUAGAAUAUCUUAUAGGCAACAUCCAUGAUCCUUAUUCUACACCAUAUUUGACAAUUAUAAAAAAUUCUUCAAGUAAGAACUAAGUGCAACAAAACCUAAAGUUAAGACAAGCAAUUACUUGGAUUACAUAGAUUACACUUGAGCACGGUAUCUGGAUCCUAAACCCAACUUGUAGCAUUUUGGCAAACUCACCUAAUCAAUUUUUGAUGCUAGAGAGCUUCCUUAAUUUCAACUAAUUUUCUUCACUUUGAUUAAUAGGCGAAAAACCAGAAGACAUACAUCAAGAGGGAUAAUAUGUUUAUCCAAAAUAUCAAACACUCUACGUGUUUAGUUUAAUGAUUUCUUAAACAAUUAAAAAACAUUAAAAAGAAACACCACCCUCAAACAUUGCAAGAUUGAGUGCAUGGAUUUGUGCCCCUUUAAUAACACAGUAUUUGAGGAAUUGCUUUGUUAUUUUCUACAUUAUCACGUCUACAUUUGUUCCAACAAGUCAGCCAACCUAUCAAAACACCAUGUCCUGCCUAGAAUCCACAAAAACAAUGGUGGUUAAGGUCCUUUGACUGAAGUGAAUGCUUUUAUAUAACCGUCGAAAUUUCAUAAAUGUGUAGUCAUUAACAUCAGUCCAGCUCAAUGUUGAAAUAUGUGAAGCCCAUAUAUUUUGGGAUAUAUUUUAAACUUAUUUAGGUAGAUAAAUCUUAGAAUAAAUUAUUUAAGAUAUUUUAGGUAUAUUUUAUUUUAUCUUUUAGUAGUUUAUUAGAAUAAGAGAAUUAUUUCCCUUAUCUUUUAGUAGUUUAUUAGAAUAAGGGAAUUAUUUUCCCAAUUAGGUUAUGACUUUUUUCUCUAUUUAAAUUUAGUUGUUUAGUUAAUAAAAGACAUAACAGUUUUAUUAAAUGCUCUCUUGAAAACUUUCAUGGCAUUUGAGCUAGGUUAUCUUUAGUAACAUCAUGGUUAAAACAAUCUUCAUUAGAGAUAGGAGAUCCAGCAAUCAAAUAGAGGAAGAAAGUUUUACCGUUGAAACAACUAAUGAAAAUUAUGAUGGCCAAAGUUCUCUAAAAGGAUCUCCAUUCACUUAAGGAACAACUAGAGCAUCUACACAAGCUUUUUCAAUCACCACAAUUUCAGAUGAAUUCUUAUCUUCCUAACUCAUCCAAUAAUCCUUCUUCCUCCUUUGCCCAAUCAAGUACUAAUUUUUCUAUUUUUUUUAGUGCCAAGCCUUGUAAAACACACGUGGAUCGUUGAUUCUAGAGCUAGUAAUCACAUGACUAGUAGUUAUUUUCUUUUUUCAACUUACACACCUUAUGUAGGAAAUAAAAAAAAUCAAAGUAGCAAAUGGGUCGUUCUUGGCAAUAGCUGGGAAAGGCAUUGUUAAAAUUUUGCCUUCCUUGGUUUUACAUGAUGUUUUACAUGUGCCAAAUCUAGCUUGUAAUCUCAUAUCAAUCAGUAAAUUAUCCCAGUCCUUGAAUUGUCAUGUUAUAUUUGACUCCUCUAUGUGUAAAUUUCAGGACAUAGUCUCGGGGAGGAUGAUUGGCAAUGCUAAAGAAUCUGGUGGAAUUUACUUUCUUGACGACGACCAUCUAAGUCAACCAACAACUACUUUAUGUUUAAAUUUUGCUUCUAGUUUUGAUAAGGUUAUGAUUUGGCAUAUAGGCUUGGACAUCUUAAUUUUUACUGUUUAAGAUAUUUGUUAUCUGAUCUAUUUAAAAAUAAAAGUCCUUCAUAUCACUGUGAAUUUUGUGAAUUGGCUAAACAACAUCGGUCAUUCUUCCCACCUCAAAAAUAUAAAGCUUCCAAACCUUUUUCGUUAAUUCAUAGUGAUGUUUAGGGACCUUCGAGAGUCUCAACUUUUUCAGGAAAACGUUGGUUUGUCACAUUUAUUGAUGAUCAUACUCACAUUUGUUAGGUGUUUUUAUUAAGAGAUAAGUUUGAAGUUAAAAAUGUGUUUCAGUUUUUUAUGUUAUGGUGAAAACACAAUUUGGUGUGAGAAUAAAAGUACUUCGGAGUGACAAUGGUGGGGAAUUUUUUUAUUAACCAAUUAAGUAUUUUCUUAACCAAACAUGGUAUAGUCCACUAAAGCUCUUGUACAAAUACACCAUAACAAAAUGGGGUUGCAGAAAGUAAAAACUGACAUCUUUUGGAAGUAACUAGAGCCUUGAUGUUCACUAGUCAGGUGCCACAUUAUCUUUAGGGUGAAGCCUUGUUAACAGCUACAUAUCUUAUUAAUAGAAAUCCUAGGAAAACUCUAAACUAUAGAAUUCCUUUCCGUCUCUUUAAAGAUAACUUUCUUAACUCCAAAUUGAUCACAGAUUGAUCCCUCCGAGUUUUUGGGUGUAGCGUUUUUAUUCAUCUUCACAACCAAGGUAAACUAGAUCCUAGAGCAAAAAAAUGCGUCUUUGUUGGCUAUACUUCUAAUAAAAAGGAUUACAAAUGUUACAAUUCAAUUGAUAGGAAGAUUAUUGUUACCAUGGAUGUCACAUUUGUUGAAACGCAAUCUUACUUUGAUUCUAAUCUUCAGGGAGGGAAUUAUAGUAAGGAAGAUUCUAUAAUUGAUUAAGAAAACACUAGAAAUAUACAAUAGGGAAGGUGAAUUUAUGAUUAAUACAGAAAUUAAUGAUGUUAAUGUUGUUAAUGAAAAGGAGUAGGAAGGUGUAGAUUUUGAUCAUGAGAAUAAAGAACAAACAAAGGAGUUAAUUGUUUACUUAAGAAGAAAUCGAAAUCAAGAAAGUGGAAUCCACCAGAUUCAUCAUUAAGAAUCCGACCUGUAAGAUCUUGUCAAAAGUCCAUGUAAAGCUCAUAAUCCAACCAAUGAAUUUUUUUAUUUAGAUAUUCCAAUUUCUAAAAGAAAAGGUGUUAGAAAUGUUGUUAAAUAUCCCAUGUCUAACUUUAUGUCCUAUAAAGCCUUGUCUUCGAUACUGUGAAAAUACCCAAAAAUGUGAAAGAUGCUUUACAAGUUCCUGAGUGGAAGGAGGCUAUUUUAGAGGAGAUGUGUGCUUUUGAAAAAAUAGGUACAUGAGAAACAGUGGAAUUACCUAUAGGAAAAAAACUGUGGGCUGUAAAUGGGUGUUCACAACCAAAUUCAAAUUUGAUGGAUCUUUAGAUAGAUACAAAGCAUGACUGGUGGCUAAAGGGUACACUCAAACAUAUGAGACAUAUUAUCUUGAAACAUUUACUCCAGUAGCCAAAUUAAAUUAUGUUAGAGUUCUUUUAUCAAUUGCUGUUAAUCUUGAUUGGUCCUUACAGCAGCUAGAUGUGAAGAAUGUUUUCCUAAAUGGGAAACUUGAAGAAGGAGUUUACAUGGAUCCUCCUCCAGGUUUUCAAGAAAAAUUUAGAACUCGAGUAUGUAAGCUUAGGAAAUCUUUGUAUGGUGUAAAACAAUCUCCUCAAGCUCGGUUUGAACGGUUAACUCAAGUUGUUAAAAAACAAGGUUACUCACAAGGGCAAGCUGAUCACAAAAUGUUUUAUCGACACUCAUAAAAAGGUAUAGUAACAGUUAUUAUAGUUUAUGCUGAUAAUAUCAUUCUUACAGGAGAUGAUGUGGAUGAAAUAAGGCGUCCCAAGGAGCAUCUAGCAUUGGAGUUUGAGAUCAAAGACUUGGGUCCUCUGAAAUACUUUCUUGGAAUAGAAGUUUCUGGAUCAAAGAAGGGCCUUGCGGUCUCUCAGAAAAAAUAUGUGAUUGAUCUUUUAAAAGAGGCUGGGAUGAGUGGUUGCUGCCCGACUGGCACACCAAUUGAUCCAAAUGUAAAAUUUAGAAAUAAAGAAGGUCGAUUAGUUGAUAAAGGGUAGUACCAAAUAUUAGUCGGUAAGUUAAUUUACUUAUCACAUACAAGACCAGACAUAGCUAUUGUAGUGAGCUUAGUGAGUCAAUUUAUGCACUUCUCAAUAGAGGAACAUGAAAAAGUAGUGUUUCGGAUUCUGAGAUACUUGAAGAGUUCACCUGGAAAGGGCUUAUUCUUCAAAAAAUCUGAAUAAAGAGAAAUUAAAGCUUAUACAGAUGUAGAUUGGGUAGGCUCAAUAACAAAUAGAAGAUCUACAUCAGGAUAUUGUACAUUUGUUUAAGGAAACCUUGUGACUUGGCGAAGCAAAAAACAAAAUGUUGUAGUAAGAAGUAGUGCAGAGGCUGGGUUUAGAUCAAUGGCUCAAGGAAUUUGUGAAAUUUUGUGGUUGAAAAGAAUUAUGGAAGAGCUGAGGAAACCAAUAACUUCACCAAUGAAGUUGUACAAUGAUAGCAAAGCUGUCAUUAGUAUUGCUCACAACCCAGUCCAGCAUGACAGAACUAAACAUGUUGAGAUUGAUAGACACUUUAUCAGGGAGAAGAUUGAAGAAGGCCAAGUGUGCAUGCCGUUUGUUCCUUCAAAACAACAGAUUACUGACAUACUCACCAAAGGGCUCUCUAAGACAAGCUUUGAUUUUCUUAUAAGCAAGUUGGGCAUGAUUGAUAAAUAUGCACCAACUUGAGGGAGGAUGUUGAAAUAUGUGAAACCCAUAUAUUUUUAGAUAUAUUUUAAAGUUAUUUAGGUAGAUAAAACUUAUUUAGGUAGAUAAAUCUUAGAAUAAAUCAUCUGAGAAAUUCUAGGAAUAUUUUAUUUUAUCUUUUUGUAGUUUAUUAGAAUAAGGGAACUAUUUUCCUUAUCUUUUAGUAGUUUAUUAGAACAAGGGAAUUAUUUUCUCAAUUAGGUUAUGGCGCUUUUCUCUAUUUAAAUUUAGUUGUUUAGUUAAUAAAAGACAGAACAGCUUUAUUAAAUGCUCUCUUGAAAACUUUCACUCAACAUGCCCGUUCCUUUACCCAAUUUAAAAUACAAACAUCUAUACUGUUCAAAUUUUCAAUACCACUCCCAUAGAGAGAAAAAGGAAAUAGUGCACAAGCCUUAGAACAGUAAAAGAAUCAUCCAAUAUUGACAAGAUGGAAUUAAGCAUAUAUCUCGACUAUUUCACUAAGUGAAACAAGAUUUAAAACAAAAAUCGUCAUGAAACCUUUUUCAAGAAAUAAUGAUUAAAAUCAUAUGGUAACAUAGGAAAAAAAAUAAAAGAUGAUACUUUACAUCACAAGCAUUGAGGUUAUAUAUAAUAUUGGAGUCAUGUAUUUUGUGCAAUAAUUUUGUAACAUGGAGACUAUCCUAUACCAUUAUCAUGCAUAGAUGCCCAAACAUUCCCCAAAAUUUCUAUGGAGGCAGUACUUCUAUAUCCUUCUGUUCUGAAAUCCAAAAUCCUCGAAAGGUUAGAACUUGAAACUUUCAGCUUUAAGUUCUCAAGUUUGAGUUUUGGGAAGUAGCUUUUGAAAAUUGAGGAAGCAGAUUCUCAGCUCUUUUAAUGGGAAAAAUAUUAAAUUGAAUCUGUUCAAGUAUAUAUGUGUAUAUAUAACACAAAGCAGAAAACAAGAGAAGACAAAAAAGAAACCAAACAUGUAACUUCAAGUUGAAUAUAUUCAACAAAUCAGAAUACAUGUGAAUUGGGCUACACAGCAUGAUAGCAUUUAAUCUCUUACUUUACCAGUUAUAUUAAAUGACUAGCAUCAAAAUGAGAGGCAGAAUUAGAAACAAAUAGUCACUCAGAUGGAAGAUCAUUUGGCUGAUUCAAAUAGAAAGUCCUUGAAUUUCUUAAUUCCACCUUUCUCAAUUCAUCCCACUUCCACAUUUUUAAAAAUAAGCAAAUAGCUUCAUAGCCAAAAACUGCUUUCUCUAUAUUUGGAAAUAAAACAAAAAGUUAGCAACUUGUUAUAGAAUUUCACCAAAAGUAAUAUGGCAAAACUCAUCAUUUCAAGUGUCGUUAAACUAUCAAAUCACUUCCUAUUCAAAGUCCUAUUACCAAUAGAUUUGGAAUUCAGGAAACAAGAGCAAGUAGCUUAUUAUAGAAUUUCACCAAAGGCAAUGUGGCCAACCUCAUCAUUUUUUAAUGCCAGUGGAAUUUAUAUCAUUUUACUAUUUAAUUUGAAAUCAAAAUUUACCUGUCAGGUGACUGUUCCAAUAAUUGCAGUCACCAGGAAUUCCUUCCAUCCUCCUAGGAACUGCAAAAGGUUUGCAAGCAAAAGCCAAAGAUUAGAUUUCAAUGUUUUAGAAGGAAGAACAGUCCGCCUCACAAGCUACAUAGUUGCUACCAUUUCAUUUUGUUAAGAUUUGUAUAAUUCCCUCCAGCUGCAAAAAAUAUGCUUUACUCUCUGUUUACAGAAGCAAAACACAGAACUUCCAUUCUACUAAUUGAAAAGGGUCAAAAUAAUAAAAUUAGGUCUGAUUUAGAAGCUCUAAAUUAAAAGACUAUAAAGGCAAAAAAAAAUUUUCAGCGGCACAUACAAGUCAUAAUCUCUGAUUUGCUGGAGUCCUGUCUGAAAAUAGUACAUAUUGCAAAAUUAAGAAUACCACAGUACAUCCACGCAAUUAGCAUAAGGAACUAAAUAAAAAAAUUUAAAAUUUAAAAAAAAAAGCAUUCAAAAUAACAAAAAGGCCAUAAGCGUAGCAGACAAGAACUUUAUUCAAGAAUCAUAUCAAGAUAUACGAGCGAGACAAAAGUAAAAUAAAAUGACAAUUGAACCAUCAAUGAAAACCCUGAAUUCAGAAGAAAAGAGAAAAUAAAUUACAGCAGAUCUAGAGAUUAAAGAAAAACAAAAAAUAAAAAGUCAAUAAGAAAAUUAAAAAGAAAGAAAGAAAGGAAGCAAAACCAACCUAAGACAAUGUGGAUUGAAGCUAAGCAAGAAAACACACCAAAAAGCUAGCUUCUCAAUGUGAAGAGCAGCUAAAAUAGAAUAAUAAGGUUUUUAUAUUUGUGAAAAACGGAUUUCUUUGUGAAAAACCAAAGGCAGGAUUUUGGGGUAUAAAUUAAGACUGAGAAAGAAAGCAGAUAAAUCGUGGGAGAUGAAAUCGAAGAAUAAAAAGGGACUGGAUUUUUUUUUGUGAAAAACGGCGUUGUUUCAAUAAAAAUUAAAAAACUU